UAAGGAAUAUUGGUCAAUGGAGGCAACUCUGAACCAGCCAUGCCGCGUGCAGGAAGAAGGCCCUAUGGGUCGUAAACUGCCUUUGAACAAGAGAAAACCCCGGUACGUGUACUGGGUUGAUAGUAUUGUUAGAAUAAGCAUCGGCUAACUUCGUGCCAGCAGCCGCGGUAAGACGAAGGAUGCAAGCGUUAUCCGGAUUCAUUGGGUUUAAAGGGUGCGUAGGCGGACUGAUAAGUCAGUGGUGAAAUCUCUCGGCUUAACCGAGAAACUGCCAUUGAUACUGUUAGUCUAGAGUACAGAUGAUGUGGGCGGAAUAUGACAUGUAGUGGUGAAAUACUUAGAUAUGUCAUAGAACACCGAUUGCGAAGGCAGCUCACAAAACUGUAACUGACGCUGAGGCACGAAAGUGCGGGGAUCAAACAGGAUUAGAUACCCACGUAGUCCCUGAGCGGGCUGGCAAGGCGCAU
rnacentral:rRNA from 1 species